rnacentral:rRNA from 1 species
CCUUGUACACACCGCCCGACACACCACGAAAGUUGGUAACACCCGAAGCCAGUGGCCUAACCGCAAGGAGGGAGCUGUCGAAGGUGGGAUCAGCGAUUGGGGUG